GGCCCAUUGUGGGCCAAGGGAUCCUCUGCCUGGCAUCCCUGGGUAUUUUGGCUUUUGCCUCAGGCUCUGAGAUGACUGCAAAAACAGUGGUGGAGAAGAGCUCUUCAGGCAGAGAGAGGUACUAGAAGGCUGCUAUAAGGCCUCCCCAGAGCCUUCUCCAGACUGAACAGCCCCAAUUCUUGCAGCCUGUCCCUACAGCAGAGGUGCCCUAGCUUUCUCAUCAUCUUCUGUUUCUGUUGUGGUAGAUGCUUUUAUUUCAGCACUGUCUUUGGUAUUUGUCAAAUAUAUUUUUGGGUUUACAUGUGGCUUUUUUUUUUCUUCCCUAUGUGAAGGCUGUACCACCAGUAUGUCUUGAUAUGUGUGGUACAGUAUGUUAGCAAGAAUCUGGUGGCAUUCCAUCUCCAGUUUCCAGUGUAGUGGGAAAAUAAUGUACAUUCAAAACAUUAAAAAGGGGUGUGCAAAAGAUAUGUUGCCCUGGCAAUAGUUAUAACUACUGCAAUUAGGAAUAUCAUUCAGAUACAUAAUAAGAUACUAAUAUCCAAAUUCAUUAAGUGUUGUGCUGAAGUCAGAUGUGUCAGAUUUUGGUUACAGAGAUACUUUAACCAUGAGCAUUAAGUAGUGAAUGGAGGGGUAUUAGCAUAGAAUCUCAAACCCUUUUUCGUGGAACUUUAAGACACAAAAUGAAAGUAAACCCAGUAUUUUUGUCUACCACAAUUUGGGCAUGCCAGGGUUUCAAGAUUAUAAAAAAACUGGAAUAAAUGAAGAUUCUUUUGGCCAUA